AUUGAACGCUGGCGGCAGGCCUAACACAUGCAAGUCGAACGAGUGGCGGACGGGUGAGUAAUGUAUGGAAAACUGCCUGAUGGAGGGGGAUAAGUACUGGAAACGGUAGCAAAUACCGCCAAACAUCGAAUGGGCCGAGAUGGGAUUAGCGAGUAGGUGGGGUAAAGGCUCACCUAGGCGACGAUGCAUAGCUGGGCUGAGAGGCUGACCCGCCACACUGGAACUGAGACACGGUCCAGACUCCUACGGGAGGCAGCAGUGGGGAAUAUUGCACAAUGGGCGCAAGCCUGAUGCAGCCACGCCGCGUGUAUGAAGAAGGUCUUCGGGUUGUAAAGUACUGUCAGCGGGGAGGCGUUACCCGCAGAAGAAGCACCGGCUAACUCCGUGCCAGCAGCCGCGGUAAUAC
rnacentral:rRNA from 1 species